rnacentral:rRNA from 1 species
AUGUGGCUCAGCUCGUCAAGCAGUAAUUCUUCAGGUCGGAGGCCCAUUUGGCAGCGGAUUUGGAGCUCUAAAGUGCCUCUAAAGAUGAGAAUUAUGGCCUGGAAGGUUGUCUCCGGUGCUUUAGCUACAAAUGAAUGCAAGAAGUAUCGUCACAUAUCUACUAGGGACAGCUGUCGGGUGUGUGGCCGAGAAAAGGAGACUAGCUUUCAUGCUCUAGUGUCAUGUGAGCAUGCGCAGAGGAUAUGGGCUCAGAUGAGAACUGUUUGGCGUUUACCGAGCCAGGAGCUCCUUCAUGAUACUGGGAAGGAAUGGCUUUUAAACGUCCUCGCAAACUGCGAUGAUCACAUGCGGGAUUGCACGAUCAUGUUUAUAUGGAGGAUU